AACGAACGCUGGCGGCAUGCCUAACACAUGCAAGUCGAACGAGACCUUCGGGUCUAGUGGCGCACGGGUGCGUAACGCGUGGGAACCUGCCCUUAGGUUCGGAAUAACUCCCCGAAAGGGGUGCUAAUACCGGAUAAUGUCUUCGGACCAAAGAUUUAUCGCCUUUGGAUGGGCCCGCGUUGGAUUAGCUAGUUGGUAGGGUAAAAGCCUACCAAGGCGACGAUCCAUAGCUGGUCUGAGAGGAUGAUCAGCCACACUGGGACUGAGACACGGCCCAGAACCCUACGGGAGGCAGCAGGGGGGAAUAUUGGAAAAUGGGCGAAAGCCUGAUCCAGCAAGGCCGGGGGAGGGAGGAAGGCCUUGGGGUUGUAAAGCUCUUUUACCCGGGAUGAUAAUGACAGUACCGGGAGAAUAAGCCCCGGCUAACUCCGU
rnacentral:rRNA from 1 species